CCCUUAGAUGUUCUGGGCCGCACGCGCGCUACACUGACGAAGUCAGCGAGCAUGUCCUACGCCGACAGGUGCGGGGAAUCUUGUCAAACUUCGUCGUGAUGGGGAUUGAUUAUUGAAAUUCUUGAUCAUCAACGAGGAAUUCCUAGUAAGCGCAAGUCAGCAGCUUGCGUUGAUUACGUCCCUGCCCUUUGUACACACCGCCCGUCGCUACUACCGAUUGAAUGGUUUAGUGAGAUCUUCGGAUUGUCGCCACUGCGGCUCAGCAAUGGGCUCGGUGGAUGCCGAAAAGUUGAUCAAACUUGAUCAUUUAGAGGAAGUAAAAGUCGUAACA
rnacentral:rRNA from 1 species